GAUGAACGCUGGCGGCGUGCCUAUUUCAUGCAAGUCUAGCGAAGCGUGGACGGGUGAGUAACACGUGGAUAACCUCCUAUAAGACUGGGAUAACUUCGUGAAACCGGAUCUAAACCGGAUACUUCUAGAUGGAUCCGAGCUGCAUUAGCUAGUUGGUAAGGUAACGUCUUACAAAGGCAACGAUGCAUAGCCGACCUGAGAGGGUGAUCGGCAACACAGGAACUGAGAGAAGGCCGAGACGCAUAAGGGCGGCAGCAGUAGGGAACAGUACGAGAGGGGCGAAAGCCUGACGAAGCAACGCCGCGUGAGUGAUGAAGGUGUUCGGAUCGUAAAACUCUGUUAUUAGGGAAGAUGUACAUAAUCAGAAAGACAAGGCUAACUACGUGCCAGCCGCCGCGGUAAUUC
rnacentral:rRNA from 1 species